GAACUGGGCAUUUAAGCUGAGACGUGAAGACAUUUCUUUAUAGUUUGAGCUCUCAACUGUGGACGUCUUGUUGAGUAUAUUGAAUAACAAAUUUGAUUGGUUUAACAUUCAAAAAUCAAUUAAAGCACAUGGGGUUACUAUGACACCAUUACAUACAACAGUAAAGUAGAAACACAAAGAACUGUAGAUAUUGGAAUCUUGAGCAAAACACAGUGAAUAGAGGAACUCAGUAGGUCAGACAACAUCUGUGGAGGAAAUGGACUGGCGACAGUUCGGGCUGGGACCUUUCUUAAGACUGAUAGGGUCUUGACCCAAAGCUUCGCCUGUCUAUUUCCUCCACAGAUGUUGCGUGACCCGCUGAGUUCCUCCAGCACUUUGUGUCUGGAAUACAAAGUAUAAGCUACAAGGAAAAAAAACAAUACAGCACAGAUGCAGGCCCUUCAGCCCACAAUGUCUGUGCUGAGCAUGAUGCCAAGUUAAACUAAUCUCCUCAGCCUGCACGUGAUCCAUAUCAGUUUUUCAAAUGUAGCUUGUUUUCCCUGGAGCAUCAGAAGUUUAAGGGAGACUCUGAUGAAAAUGUAUAAAAUUAUGAGAGGGUAGAUACCCCAAAUAUUUUACUUGGAGUGAAAAUGUCUAAUACUAGUGGGCAUCAUGUCAUGGUUAGAGGAUUAAAACGUAAAGAUGUGCAGGGCAUGUUUUCCUACAUAGAUAGUGGUAGGUGUCCAAAAUAUGAUGCCUGGGAAGGUGGUGAAUGCAGAUACGAUUGUGAGGUUUAAGAAGCUUUUAGAUAAGCACAUGAAUAUGCAGAGGGAAUGGGGGAGAUAUAGAUCAAAUGGAGGCAGUGGAGAUUAGUUUAACUUGGAACCAUGUUCAGCACAACCAUAAGGCCAGUUCCCUUGCUGUACCGUUUUAUGCUCCAGUAUGCACCUUAAAGGUAAUAACGUUUAGUGCAAGAUAAAGCCCAGUAAAGUCAGAUUAGUCCAAGGGUCCCCAAUGAGAUGGAUGGUAUGUCAGGACCACUCCCUAAUUGGUGAUAGGAUGGUUCAGUUGCCUGAUAACAGCUGGUAAGAAACUGUCCCUGAAUCUGGAGGUAUGCAUUUUCACACUUCUGUAUCUCUUGUCUGAUGGGAGGGUGUGUCUGGGGUGAGACUUGUCAUUAAUUAUGCUGGUGACCUGGCCGAGGCAGCAUGGAAGGGAGGCCGGUUUGUUUGAUGGUCUGGGCUGCAUCCACAAUUCCCUGCAGUCUUAGGUGGAGCUGUUCCCACUGCAUUUCGUUGUCUCUGUAUUGUACACUGACAAUUACAGUUGAAUCUGAAUUUGAAUGAAUCUGAAACCAUGCUGUCAUGCAUCCCAAUUUUUCUUUUUUCGUGUCCAUCAUCUAUGUUUCAAAUGUUCGGCCAGGCUCUUGCACAGCGGACAGCCUUUUCGUUUGCCACCGCUCGAUCUUCCAGGCAGCAUUGUUCACCAAGAAGUGGGCAUCAUAGUAGGUGUAGCAUGGAUUGUACAGAUGUUCCACAUUCACAGUCUGUGUCUGCCGCAUCUGCAUAGCCCCAUUUGUUCAUAUUGGUCUUGCAUCGGCCCAUCCCGGUACAAAGCCUAUUGAUGGACUUCCAGGUCUUCCAGUCACACCUGUGACCAGGUGGUAGCUGUUCCUUGGUUGGGAUAGGCAUCUUUACGUGAUGGUGAUUUUCACUGCGUUUCUUUUCCCACAAGGCUAGUCUGGUUGCUUGAGGAGACUGUGACAGUGGCUGGAUUGUGUGGAGGAAGCUCUUCCUCGACUUCAGCAGAUUUGGGCUGGGUGAUGGGAGUGACAGGAACGCAUCCAAAUAAAAUGCUUUCUACGGCGCAUCUGCAGAAGUUGGUGAGAGUUGUUGAGGACAAGUCGAGCUUCCUAAGCUUUCUAAGGAAGGAGAGGCAUUGGUGUGCUCUCUUGGCCAGGCCCAGGACAAGUUGCUGGUGAUAUUUACUCCUAGGAGAUUGAAACUUUCAACCAUCUUUAAUUUGGCGCGAUCAAUGUAUAUUGGGGUAUGUGUAUUGCUUCACUUCCUGAAGUGAAUCAAAAUCUCCUUUGCCUUGCCAACAUUGAGGGAAAGGUGGUUGUCUUGGCACCAGGUUACAAGGUUCUCAAUCGCCUUCCUGUACUCUGUCUCAUCAUUAUUUGAUAUCCGGCCCACGUUGGAUUUGUAUUUGGCUGCACUGUUGUGAGUGUAUAAAGAGUAAAGAAGGGGCUGAGAACACAUCCUUGCGGUACACCAGUGUUGAGGAUUAUCACAGAGGAUGAUUUGUCAUCUAUCACAACUGAUUGUGGUUUGUUGGCCAGGAAGUCAAGGAUCCAGUUGCGGAGGUGAGUGCUGACACCAUUUCACAAGCUUAGAAAUGAGCUUGGAUGGGAUAAUCGUAUUAAAAGCAGAGAUAUAGUCUAUUAAUAGAAGUCUGACGUAGUUCUCUCUCUUAUCCAGGUGUUCCAGGGAUAAGUGGAUGGCCAGGGCAAUGGCAUCAGCUAUGGACCUGUUGUGGCGGUAGGCAGCCUGCAGUGGUUCAAGGUUGCUUGGUAGACUGGAUUUAAUAUGUUCCAUUACCAGACUCUUAAAGCACUUCACAAUAGUAGAUGUCAAUGCUACUGGACAGUAGUCAUUAAAGCACGAGGUCUUGCUUUUUUUCAGCACCAGGAUGAUAAUGGUCUUCCUGAAGCAGACUCAUUUACACAAUGGUAGAAAUGAGGCCGCUUGAAAGAUGCUGACUCAUGAAUCAAGAAACUCAAUUUCCAGUUGCAGAAGAAUGCAGCGUGUCAUCUCUGAAUAUUAACAUAACGCCAAGGCCACACUCUGUCAAGCUCCACAAUGUAAACCUGACACUGUAAUAAUAAUAGAGACAUGUAAUUCAUGCUAUUUGAAGGUCUCUCCAUGAUAUAUUAAAACAAGCAUACUUUUUUAAAUAUAAUUGAAACCCAAGAGCCUAGGAAUUGCUAUUAUACAUCAAUAAUGUUUGCAAACAGCAAUAUGCGAAUGUCCAAAGAGUUCAGGUUUAAGAAUUUUUGGGUUACGUAAAUGAAAAUGUAUUUUGUUAUAAUAUUUGCUUAAACAUGUUUGAAAAAUGGCUAUAUUUAAUUCUAUGUCCUGUCACGCGUGUGGGAUUUACAUCAGGCAUGACAGGUCAUCAAAUUAUGGUAUUAAUCUGCAAAAAGAAAACUCAUGCAUUCAGGACAAACGCAACCACAGUUUAAUAUUGACCAUGAAAAGCAAAUACACAGUAGAGAUGGUUAAUUGCUGUCUAAAUGUGAUGGGUCUAAAUAAAUUAAGAUAAUAAUAUGAAGUAGAUGAUAACUAAAGAAAAAAUAUUGGAGCCCAAAAUGGGAACUUUCAAUGUGGCAAAUUCAACCCUACAGAGAAUGGGAUCAUUAGGUUUAAAAACCAAGGAAGGCUUAUGGUUACAUUUCUUUCAAAAAUGUGCCUUCUAUUAAAACUUGCCCAUGGCUGGAUGUUUGUAAUUAAUGCAGAUUUCAAUAGUAAUGGUAAUAAUCUAGAUGUCAUGAAUGGAAUCAAAUUAAUUUAUUUGGGAACAUUGUUGUUAAGAUUGAAGAAGAUGUUGACCCCUUGACUUUGAGAAGUGGACUGCAGUGGUGCUCCGGCCUCCUUCCUGCUGCACUGUCUCCCCGAGUACACAACGCCAGAAGGUUAAUUGGAAAUUUAUGUAAUCUCUUCUGAAAUUAAUUCUGAAAUUAAACCUGUAAAUUCAUUGAUUUAAUUCAGAUCGCAAUUGGAAGCGUCGCUUUAAAGAGGCCCUUCCUCAACUUAGAAGAAACCUAUUCAGGCCGAUGCAGCAACUUUGAAUACAUAGGCAAGGUUUUUACACAUGGUAUAUUUGAGCAAUGUGUGUAAACAGUAUUAAAUGUUUGUAUAGCCUCCGAAAGUGUCGGAUGAAUGUUUUGCAUGAUUCAUGUAUUGUAUAUAUUUAUUACUUGAAUAAAGUCUAUUUUGAAAUUAAAAAAAGGUCCGCUGCUGGACAUAGGUGGGCAGGGUGUGGUGGAGACGCCCCUCAAAAAUAAGGGAAGGGAUUCCACGCCAGUGGGCCACAUGAAUGACAAGUGUGGGGAUACAUUUGUGUAAUUUGAGCAAUGUGUGUAAACAGCAUUGAAUGUUUGUAUAGCC